rnacentral:rRNA from 1 species
UGCGGUGAUAAUGGCGGUGAGGAUCCACCUGUUCUCAUACCGAACACAGAAGUUAAGCUCACUUGCGCCGAAAAUACUAUAUUGGUGACGAUAUGGGAAGAUAGGUAGUUGCCGCAU